rnacentral:rRNA from 1 species
GAUGAACGCUGGCGGCGUGCCUAAUACAUGCAAGUCGAGCGAACAGACGAGGAGCUUGCUCCUCUGACGUUAGCGGCGGACGGGUGAGUAACACGUGGAUAACCUACCUAUAAGACUGGGAUAACUUUGGGAAACCGGAGCUAAUACCGGAUAAUAUCUUGAACCGCAUUGUUCAAUAGUGAAAGACGGUUUUGCUGUCACUUAUAGAUGGAUCCGCGCCGCAUUAGCUAGUUGGUAAGGUAACGGCUUACCAAGGCAACGAUGCGUAGCCGACCUGAGAGGGUGAUCGGCCACACUGGAACUGAGACACGGUCCAGACUCCUACGGGAGGCAGCAGUAGGGAAUCUUCCGCAAUGGGCGAAAGCCUGACGGAGCAACGCCGCGUGAGUGAUGAAGGUCUUCGGAUCGGAAAACUCUGUUAUUAGGGAAGAACAAAUGUGUAAGUAACUAUGCACGUCUUGACGGUACCUAAUCAGAAAGCCACGGCUAACUACGUG